GAUGAACGCUGACAGAAUGCUUAACACAUGCAAGUCUACUUGAUUCUACUUCGGUAGUUGAUGGUGGCGGACGGGUGAGUAACGCGUAAAGAAUCUGCCCUUUAGUUUGGGAUAACCUUGGGAAAUGAAGGCUAAUACCGGAUACUAUGGGGACGUCGCAUGGCGACUUCAGGAAAGCUAUAUUCGCUAGAGGAGGACUUUGCGUCCCAUUAGUUAGUUGGGGAGGUAAUGGCUCACCAAGACCGGGAUGGGUAGCCGGCCUGAGAGGGUGAUCGGCCACAAGGGAACUGGGACACGGUCCUUACUCCUACGGGAGGCAGCAGUGGGGAAUAUUGGACAAUGGGCCACAAGCCUGAUCCAGCAAUUAUGUGUGCACGAUGAAGAUCUUCGGAUUGUAAAGUGCUUUCAGUAGGGAAGAAAAAAAUGACGGUACCUACAGAAGAAGCGACGGCUAAAUAUGUGCCAGCAGCCGCGGUAA
rnacentral:rRNA from 1 species